rnacentral:misc_RNA from 1 species
AAGUCGUAACAAGGUUUCCGUAGGUGAACCUGCGGAAGGAUCAUUAUUGAAUAUUCUUGAUGAGUUGUAGCUGGCUCUCCGGGGCAUGUGCACGCUUGUCUUGACUCUAUUCAUCCACCUGUGCACCUUUUGUAGUCUUGGGGGUUGAAAGCAGUCGACUAUCGGAUGGCUACGGCUACUCCGGAUGUGAGAAAUGCUGAGCGCAAAGACGCAUACAGCUCUUCUCAAAUGACUUGCAUACCCUUGAGUACUAUGUAUUCAUAUACCACGUCGUAUGUUGUAGAAUGUGAUCAAUGGGUCUAUGUACCUAUAAUAAUCAUAUACAACUUUCAGCAACGGAUCUCUUGGCUCUC